ACGCGAGCGGGUAUCUGCAAAACUACCUCUUGUUUCAAUUUAGGGUUUCGAGACGGGAGAAGAGCAGCGGCGUCUCGCUCUCUCUCUCGCUCUCUGCCUCGAGCAGGUCGGGCGAAGGCUUCGGACCAGAGGACGCAACGCAUCUCUUUAAAGCCCUAAACGAGGGAUGACUCUUGGAAUCCGAUGUGGGUUUUUCUUUGCCGAUGGUCGACGCCGAGGUAUUAUCGGCCCCUCGCCGUGUGGUGUGAAGCGAUUGUGGAUGUGUUGCUGCUGGUCAGAUUAGAUCUAACUUUGGAGAUUUGCGGUACUUCUCGAUGAUCGUUCUGCCCACCGGCUUAGUUGAGACAGAGGCGAACGUUGGUGGGGGCGAUGCUGCCAUGAGUAGUUCGUCCGGAUUACGUUUAUCUCGGUGUUUUGUUUCCUCGCCAACCAUGUUUUCGUCUACAUCAAACUCAAGGAAAUGGGCAGUCGGGUUAUAUGCUAAAUGUUUUGUUCCAACCGACGAUAUUUCUUGGGCAACAUUCUGUAUCCAUAUACAUGGAAAAUUCUUGGAAAGAUAUUAGUGCUUGAAGUCAGGGUCAAGCUUUUUGAGUAGUAUUUGAACUAAUGAGCUAUACGACUGAUGUAGCACGCAAGUGCAUCAAUUUUGUCAGCAGGGAAGAAAUGGAAGCUGUCACUAGUUGAGCCCUUUAACCACUUAA